CAAUCGGCCCUUUUCAGGGCCAACAAAUUUUUUAAAUGUUUGGAA
rfam:Nasonia vitripennis chromosome 5 unlocalized genomic scaffold Chr5_random003, whole genome shotgun sequence.